GAAGGCUCGACCCUUGUAUAAAGGGUGCAAGGCAGGACAAACGUAGAAAUGGACAGUGCAGAUAGAGAGUGCCUUUCGAGCCUUGAGAACAGCUAUGUUAAAGGCUCCGACUCUGGCGCUUCCUGAUCCUACAAAAGAGUUCCAUCUGUUUGUAGAUGAGAAAAAGAAAAUAGCCAAGAGAGUGCUCACACUGGCACUAGGACCUUGGAGGCGCCCAGUGGCGUACCUGUCAAAAAAAAAAAAAAAAAAAGAAACUAGACCUGGUAGCAGAGGGAUGGCCGGCUUGUCUGCAAAUCAUCAAAUCAUGGCAGCUACUGCCUUACUGGUCAAAGACACCAAUAAGCUCACCCUGGGUCAGCAUUUGCAGAUUACCACGCCUCACGCCAUAGAGGGGACCCUGAAGCAGCCGCCAGGGCGAAGGAUUACAAAUGCGAGGCUGACUCUCUACCAGGGGCUUCUGUUGGACACUCCUCGCUCUGAGUUCCGGACUCCUGCCAUCCUGAACCCGGCCACACUCCUGCCGGAUCCAGAGCCGGAAACACCUGAACACAGUUGCCUCGAGAUCCUGGCGAGACCCAGAUGGCCAGGAAAGAUCUAACAGACCACCCUCUUCCAAACAGCGACCUGACCUGGUUCACCGAUGGGAGCAGCUUUGUCCAGGACCGACACAGGUACGGACUGCCGGAGAGCAUAGGAUCUGACAAUGGGCCAGCCUUCACAAGUCAGGUUGACGGGGUAGCAACCUGGAUCCACCACUCCCACGUGAGACCGGCUGGUGAGGACGAGCAGAAGCGACAGCAGGACGAGUAAAGGACGAAGCAGACCUCACAAAUCCACUAAGGACCAGGCUGACCCGUGUGACAUCUGCAGAGUAAACAAGACUAUUGACUCAGAUUCUGGUAGAACUGCCAAUUGCCCUUCUAGGACUCGGACUGGGACUAGUUACCCCAAAGAUUUGGACUAAGCUGCAAAAAUGGGGUUUAAUAUUGUUCUGUGUUUCACAUGCAAGUGCAUUAUAAAUGUCCUGCUCUUAGACCAAAAGUUUUGCAGUUAUAAUUAAUAAUGAGAACCCACAUCUGCCAUAUAAACUUACAUAAAAAAUAACUUAGAAACCUAUGAGGUAUAUAAUAGCACCUCAAAGGCAGAGCCACUAAACACCUGGUGGCCAAUUUAUAUUUCAACGUAGAAAAAGUCAGUCUCCUAGAAAAGCCGGCACAGACAGUACAAUAUCCUCGAGAGGCCCUGCUGCUGCCCAAUCCCCUGUUCUUAAGUAACUAGACUAUAGAAAAAAAUGUAAAAUAGACCUCUGUAAGCCAAAAUAGGUUUUACGCCUGUCUAAAAUUCCGGCCCCCUCAGAAAAACCGUGAGUGUGGGAGUAUUAGAGGUUAUUAUUAUGCCAAAUGGUGAUGUGUAAUCACAAAUGACAGAGAGUAAAAAUGGCAGGUACAACCUCUUUUCACUGAAAUAUCCUAUGUCCGACCUUGUACUAGAGAUAGGCCUAACCCCCUGCUUAAGCCAAUCAGUUUUAAAUGAGUCUAAAAAAAUACUGCAUUAUGGUACUAAUGUUCCCUAAGGUCAUCUAUCAUCAAGACCCUAGAUAAGAGGCUCUUAAGAACCAAGAGAAAGGGGGGAAUGUAAGAUACUGGGCUAUAAGGACAAUAGACACCUUCCAGCUUCUGUUUACUGCUUGUUC